GAUGAACGCUGGCGGCACGCCUAACACAUGCAAGUCGAACGGAGAUAAUUGAUUUAUUGAUUAUCUUAGUGGCGGACGGGUGAGUAACACGUGAGUAACCUGCCUCUGAGAAGGGAAUAGCUUCUGGAAACGGAUGGUAAUGCCCUAUAACAUAAUUGAAUGGCAUCAUUUGAUUAUCAAAGAUGUUAUCGCUCAGAGAUGGACUCGCGUCUGAUUAGAUAGUUGGUGGGGUAACGGCUCACCAAGUCGACGAUCAGUAGCCGGACUGAGAGGUUGAACGGGUGCAUUGGGACUGAGACACGGCCCAGACUCCUACGGGAGGCAGCAGUGCGGGAUAUUGCACAAUGGGGGAAACCCUGAUGCAGCGACGCCGCGUGAGUGAUGACGGCCUUCGGGUUGUAAAGCUCUGUCUUCAGGGACGAUAAUGACGGUACCUGAGGAGGAAGCCACGGCUAACUACGUGCCAGCCGCCGCAGUAAGAC
rnacentral:rRNA from 1 species